AAAAAGCAGGCAUGGCCUCGUGGGACUGAUUUCUAGCUCAAAAGGCUUCCAGGCUCACUUAGCUGUGCUUUAGUCACAGAAGCCUCUCUUUCUCCUCACAUUCGUGAGGGUUAAAGUCAGGCUGUGGCACCUAGGGUGUCAGUAGUUUGUAUAGUUGCUCAUUUCACUUUUAAAGGCCAGUUUCAGCCCUCCUGGCCCCUAGGAGCGCCCUGGGGCUGCAGCCGCCUGUCAGAGGGCAGCGGCGGGGGGGGGAAGCCGCGGCUGCGUCCCCCUCACACCCGGCGCUGGCAGCGCGGGCAGCGGGACCUCGAGGCUCUCACGGGCUCGGUUAGCCUCUGUCACCGCCCCAGCAGCAGUUCUCUCGAGUUAAGGACCAGAGGAAGUUGGUUAACAACCGGCUUUUGGGAACAAGAGAGCUCCAUUCUCCCUGGACCUUCAGAGUGCAGCCCUGUCCUAGAGAGGUGUCAGGAACUUAGCCACCAGCUUCUGAAGGAAUUUGGAGGCAGUACCAAGACCAGCAUCCUGGUGCUCCUGUUUAUGUUCAUGCAGAAUGGAAGGUUACCAGCACUGAGCAGAAAUGCCUGUCAUUUUGUGUUCGUAUGAAAGCUAGUCCCAGAAUCCAAACUGAGGACUAACUGGAGGCUUUUACAGCUCCAGGCAAUAUGAAACUUUCUGAGCUGAUGCUGAAGCUGUGUGCUCCUGUGCCGUGUUUAGUCCUAAGUGAAGUUGUGCUGUGUGAGAUGUCUCUCUGCUACCUCCUCAGAAAGGUCAACGAAAUCUGCAAGGGCAGUGUGGCUGCUGCUGGGGAAAGCCUUCUUGCUGCUCUUGCCUGGGACACAUCCCUGGAGAGACCAGGACAAACAGCAGCCAACUGAAGCAUUCAACUUCUGCAGGAGCAACAAUUCACAUUCUCACCAAAUUCUGAAAAAUACUGGACCAAAACCCAAAUUGACCACUGGUAUAAUGAGGUACAGCCACAGCACCAUGACUAGAGGCUUGUGGGGAAUUUAUCUCUGUGUAUUUGUGUACAGACAGCAUAUACUUUAACAGGACACAAGUGAGUAAUAGAGCAGGAUUUAUGCUUAUAGUUGCGCAGGCAAAAGUUACAGAAUUGGUGCGUGCAGUCUUUGAUCACUUGAUCAGUUGCUGAUUUUGUUUCUCGCUUUUAGCUGUGUUUUGGUUGAAUGCAGAGUAAGUCACAUGAAUCCCAUCAUUACUUUUCGUAUUUCAGAAUAUGGCAGAAAUCUUAUCUGAAUGUAGAGAUUAAAGGUUCAGUUCAGCUGAUUUGCAUCUGUGCAGUCUUCAGAAAGACUCUUGUCAAGAGAAAAAUUUAUUACUAUAUUUUUACAAUUUAAUCUUACAUCUAUUUUUCUGUAAUUUGAGAUUAUUAUUGCAUUUCACCCCAAAAGUUAUCAUAAUACUGCAAAAAUGAUUGACGUUUUUGAUUAUCAGCCUGUGCUUAUGAAAAGCUUUUGCAGCUUAUUUAAGUCAAAGUUCAUAUGCUACUUUGAUCUGAAUGCCUCUUCCUGGAUUUGUAUAAACACAUGCAAAUAGAGGACCUUUUUCCUUCAUUCAAAAUGUGAUUUUUCUAUUUUCAUCCAAGAGCAUUCUUCUUACAAGGAACCCUUU
rnacentral:lncRNA from 1 species